GGGCCCGCACAAGCGGUGGAGCAUGUGGUUUAAUUCGAUGCAACGCGAAGAACCUUACCAAGGCUUGACAUGGAAAUGAAGUAGGUAGAGAUAUCUAUGUCCUACGGGACAUUUCACACAGGUGGUGCAUGGUUGUCGUCAGCUCGUGUCGUGAGAUGUUGGGUUAAGUCCCGCAACGAGCGCAACCCUUACAAUUAGUAGCCAGCGGGCAGAGCCGGGCACUCUAAUUGGACUGCCGUGGAUAACACGGAGGAAGGUGGGGAUGACGUCAAAUCAUCAUGCCCUUUAUGUCUUGGGCAACACACGUGCUACAAUGGGCGCAACGAAGUGACGCAAGACGGCGACGUCAAGCAAAACACAAAAAAGCGUCCCCAGUUCGGAUUGUAGUCUGCAACUCGACUAUAUGAAGCUGGAAUCGCUAGUAAUCGCGAAUCAGCAUGUCG
rnacentral:rRNA from 1 species